CAGCCGCCGCGGGAAUACAGAGGGUGCGAGCGUUAAUCGGAUUUACUGGGCGUAAAGCGUGCGUAGGCGGCUUCUUAAGUCGGAUGUGAAAUCCCUGAGCUUAACUUAGGAAUUGCAUUCGAUACUGGGAAGCUAGAGUAUGGGAGAGGAUGGUAGAAUUCCAGGUGUAGCGGUGAAAUGCGUAGAGAUCUGGAGGAAUACCGAUGGCGAAGGCAGCCAUCUGGCCUAAUACUGACGCUGAGGUACGAAAGCAUGGGGAGCAAACAGGAUUAGAUACCCGGGUAGUCCCUGUCUCUUAUCC
rnacentral:rRNA from 1 species